GUCUUAUAGAGCGAGAAAUAUGGUACCUUGUCCAUGUCCUUGGGCCUUACUAACUGAAACUCAUCCAAUGUAACUGGACUAGGGUUGCCACCUUUGGUUGGGCAAAAUACAGGACAGGUUAGGCAAAAUACAGGACAGGUUGGUGGGGAAUUUGGGGGCUAAAAAUCACUUUACCUGGUGCAGAAAUGACUUCAAAGCUCUCCACCAGACAGAAGGGAACCAGAACCCUGUCUGCCCAUUCAAUUCACCUCUG